CCUACGGGUGGCAGCAGUGAGGAAUAUUGGUCAAUGGGCGAGAGCCUGAACCAGCCAAGUCGCGUGAGGGAGUACUGCCCUAUGGGUUGUAAACCUCUUUUGUCGGGGAGCAAAAGCCGGACGUGUCCGGCUGUGAGAGUACCCGAAGAAAAAGCAUCGGCUAACUCCGUGCCAGCAGCCGCGGUAAUACGGAGGAUGCGAGCGUUAUCCGGAUUUAUUGGGUUUAAAGGGUGCGCAGGCGGAUUUUUAAGUCAGCGGUAAAAUCGUGGGGCUCAACCCCAUCCAGCCGUUGAAACUGGGGAUCUAGAGUGUGCGAGAGGUAUGCGGAAUGCGUGGGGUAGCGGUGAAAUGCAUAGAUAUCACGCAGAACCCCGAUUGCGAAGGCAGCAUACCGGUGCACAACUGACGCGCAGGCACGAAAGCGUGGGUAUCGAACAGGAUUAGAUACCCCGGUAGUC
rnacentral:rRNA from 1 species